CAGAGGGCGCCCGCGCCCAGGCCGCUAAGCCCUCAGCGCAUGCGCUGCGGGCGCCCGCGGAUUUUGUCAGAAAGUGGAAACUCUCCGCGAAGGCUUUCCUCGCCGCUGCGGCUCGCGCCUUGCUUCUUCCCCUAGGUUCACCUGCCUGCCCGAGUGACUGAGAGCCGAGCGGACCGGCCCCCGCCGCCCGGAACGCACUUCCAGUCCCAUGGAGCCCGAACUCCUGCUCGGCAUCUCUACUUUCCGCUCCGGCUGAGCUGCUCUGGAGCCCGAGACCGGGGAGGCGCGACUCUCGGCCCACAGCCGCACCGCCGCCGGGUGCUGUCCGCCCUCCGAGACCCGCGCCAGCACAUCGUAUGGGACUGGGACUCCAAUGGCAAACAUGACUUCAUUGGCGAAUACACCUCAGCAUUCAAGGAGAUGAGAGGAGUGAUGGAAGGGAAACAGGUACGUGGUAAACCACUCGUGCCAUUUCCCCAGGCUCAUCUCUCAUGACGAAUCCUUAGCACCCAGCUACACAAGAAACAGCUAGAGGCAUGACAUUAAUACAUGAUUAAAUGUGGUAAGGAGGGAGUAUGGUGGGAUCUGAAACCUAGGUUCUAGUGUUAAACCGGUCCACAGCAGCUGACACAGUUUCUCCACUGCAAAAUGAAAGAGGUCAGGUGAGAAUGCUUCUAAUUUCCUUUAGCUGUGUAGCCUUGGACAAGUGACUUAAUCUCUUUGUGCCUCUGUUUUUUGGUUUGGUUUUUUAUUUAUUUUUUUUUCAGCCGCUCCCAUGGCAUGUGGAAUUUCCCUGGGCCAGGGAUCGAACCCUCACCACAGCAGUGACCUGAGCAGCAGCAGUAACAAUGCUGAGUCUUUAACUCGCUGAGCCACCUAAAAAAUACGAAGGUGAUAGAUGUGUUUUCUGGUAGGAUUCUGUGAAGAUUAGAUGAUAUAUAAUUCAUGGUAUGCACUUGACAGGGUAUCUGGCACAGGACUCGCAUUUCCAAAGCAUGUGCUAGUGCUACUAUCUAGUAACAGUAUUGCCUCUUGCUUUUUUAUUUUUUAGACUGUGCCAGCAGCAUUCAAAAGUUUCCCAGGCCAGGGAUCGAACCUGAGCCACAGCAAUGACAAUGCCAAGUCCUUAACCGCAAGGCCAUCAGGGAACCCCUCUAGUAGCAGUAUUCUUUCCAGCUCUACAUUUCCAUGACCUGGUGGCAUUAAUGCCAUAUUUUAAGCUUUAGACAAAUUAUUUGAUUGCUCCAAAUUGGAGGGUGGGGCACCAGAUUUUCAUCUAGUCCCACUAUUUCACACUUACACGUUCUUGAUACUAAGAUACUAAGAUACAAACCCAAAAACUAUCACGUACCACUAGAGCACAUAGGGAUUUCAUUGCGACAUACAGAAACCUACACCUCCUCUGCGUGUCUCAGGUGCAGACUUUGAUGGAUAUACACAUACAUCUGUUAGCGGGGUCCCUUCUUUCUGCUCAACCACUAGCAUCAGUGUUCUUAUGUGCCUUACUGAUGUCUAGUCUUAAUUCUGCUUCAGUAUGAUUCUGCUGCUCGAGUCUUAGUAACAUUCAUCUAUUCAUUUAUUCAAUAGGGAUUUAUUGAGCCCCCUAAGGAUACAGAGAUGAGAAAAACAGUCACAGAGCUCACAAGCUGGAUCCUUUUAAUACAGUUUUAAUUUUUUAUUUUAUAUCAUUUAAUUUAAAUUUAUCAUGUAGUUGAUUUACAAUGUUGUAUUAGUUUCAGGUGUAGAGCAAAGUGAAUACAUAUGAAGAAACCCACUUUUUUCCCAUCUAGGUUAAAACCAUUACAAACUAUUGAGUAGAUUUUCCUAGGCUAUGCAAUCCUAAUGACUUUACCAGAAUAACCUCUAGCUAAUUUUUGACCCUCAUUUUUCAGACUCCAGAACCCCGUGGUGUUGUUUCCACAUACCACCUCCAGCUGGCGCACGUCUAUUGGCAGGCGUCUCAGGGCUGAUGUUUACUGGGCCCCUGAGUAGUGCCUGCUCCUGGCUUCCUUAUGACAAUGCUUUGCCUGAUAGUUAGGACACCCUACUACUGUCUGUAUACCAAGAAAAAGAGUUCAGUAACCAUGGCCUCUGAGUGUCAAACACUUGAGAUCGAAUCAGAUAUAAGCGUAGUCAUGUUAUAGAGAUAGAUUGUUGAAGUGGUUCAUCUGGAGCUUUUCUCAGUGAUGGUCAUAAGACUGUUCUGGAUGUACCAGUAUUUGGUCUGUAUCGGUAAGAUGACCAGAGACAGCUGCUUUUGAAAGAAGAGUUUAUCAGAGUUCCCAUCGUGGCUCAGCGGAAACAAAUCUGACUCGUAUCCAUGAGGACGCAGGUUCGAUCCCUGGCCUCGCUCCCAUGGGUUAAGGAUCUGGUGUUGCCAUGAGCUGCAGUGUAGGUCGCAAAUGUGGCUUGGAUCUGGCAUGGCUGUGGCGUAGACCAGUGGCUACAGCUCUGAUUCGACCCCUAGCCUGGGAACCUCCAUGUGCCAUGGGUGCAGCCCUAAAAAGAUAGAAAAAAAAAAAAAAAAAGAAAAGAAAGAAGAGUUUAUUACUCACAGCUCCCAAGGGACAGGAGGUGUGUCCUGCCACACAGGGGAGCCACAUGGAGAAGCACUAGGGUCAGUCAGGAGGCAGGAGGAGUAAGGGGGGAAGCGGAGGCACAAGUCUUUAUUGUGGUUUUUGUGGGAAGGAAAGAGUGGAGCAAGGUAAACAGUUAAGCAGGUUUAGGAUUAAAGAGUUUGAAUAAUUUUGGAGACUCUGGGAGAUAGGGGUGGUCUCUAAUUGUCUGAAUCCUGACUCUGGGGUAAUACAGGGCCAGGGGAAUAUUGGGUUGGUGCAUGAGCAUUUAGCAAAGGAGGUGGCUGUGGGUUUAGGCUCUGGAUGGGUUUGUCUGUAUGUCAAAGGCAAGCUCAUUGGCAAGUUGAUUGCCAUCUCUAGGAAUUAACUAACUGGAGAAGGGGCAGUUCUUCCCUAGUAUGCAGGGCCCCAAGAUGUUAAAGCAUCAUAAAAUAUGGGGCAGGGGGUUGGGGGGUGAGACAUUAAAACAAUGACCCCAAAUGGCCAAUCACAAUGCAUUUUUCCCUAGUUCCACAUUCAAGGGGUGGUCAUGUGACCUAAGCCAGAACUAUCAAUCUUUUCCUUUACUCUUGUCAUGUAAGGAUAUGUUCCUGCAGCUCCUGGCAGCCAGGAAGGGCCAACUCUGAGUGAAGGAACCUGAUAUAUACAGAGAGCAACUGGAUGGCACUAAAGUCUUAUGAUGGAGUCACACAGACGUAAUAAAUUAAAAUCUCAGCUCUUUAACUUCA
ensembl:lncRNA